ensembl:lncRNA
UCAGAAGGAAUAACUAAUUAUUUGCACAUUGAAAUUUUGCAGGGACUCACUCAUUGAUUAAAAUAUGUAUAAAAAAUAGCAGAUGAAUAACACAAGAUGGCAUCAGAUUUCCUUCAAUAGCGACAAGUUUCGUUCCAUAUAUUCAGACUUUUAUUCUCUAUAUUAAAACUUUGAUUCUAUGUAUAUUCAGACUUUCAUUCCAUAUAUUCGAUUUCUCUCCAUAUAAUCAGAUUUUCAUUCUAUAUAUUCAGAGUUUCGUUCCAUACACUUAAACGUUCCAUAUUAUACACAUAAUUAUUUCCUCGACGGCGUCGCGCGAGCAAGGCUUUUAUUUGGCUGGGUCGUCGUGACGUCAUCAGGCCGCGCCGCGCGCUCCCGCGUCUGUGUUUCUGCUGGAGAAAGAGAAGCUCCUGCUGAAGAUACUGAGACACACUGUUAUAAAGAUGGAGUUUAUUAAAGAGGAGAGAGAAGACGUGAAGAUUGAAGACACAUUCAGAGUCAAACAUGAAGAGACUGAGACACACACUGUUAUAAAGAUGGAGAUUAUUAAAGAGGAGAGAGAAGACGUGAAGAUUGAAAAAGUAUUCAGUCUGAAGCCAGAAGAGUCUGAGGAACAAACAGAGAUGGCGUCAGUUAAAGAGGAGAGUGAAGACAUGAAGAUUGAAGAAGUAUUCAGUCUGAAACAAGAAGAUACUGAGACACAAACAGAGAUUAAGUUUUUUAAAGAGGAGAGAGAAGUGAAGAUUGAAGACACAUUCAGAGUCAAACAUGAAGAAACUGAGGAACAAACAGAGAUUAAGUUUAUUAAAGAGGAGAGAGAAGACAUGAAGAUUGAAGAAGUAUUCAGUUUGAAACAAGAAGAUACUGAGGAACAAACAGAGAUGGCGUCAGUUAAAGAGGAGAGAGAAGACAUGAAGAUUGAAGAAGUAUUCAGUCUGAAACAAGAAGAAACUGAGACACAAACAGAUUUGAAAGGAAACAUGGACAGAUUUCAAAGAAGACUUACAACUUUAAGGAAUUGCCACCGAAAGUGUGAAGAGAAAUUUGAAAAUGCUCGGGACCACUGCAAAGAGAGCCGUGGUGAUGAACCUGGGAGCCCCCCAUCAACACCACCACCAUCCAGAGAAGACGAGGUGCUCAGAGAGGAGCUUCUGUCAUCCAGUGGGUCUGAUGCAGAUCCACUGGAUGAGGACUACAAACCAUCUCCAUCGCCACCAUCCAGUGAAGAUGAGUUGCUUGCACUAGAGUCCCAGUCAUCCUGCCACAGUACUCCAGAGAAGCACCACAGUCAUGCAUCAUCCAGUAAAACUGGCACCAGAGAAGCUGAGAACCAGAAGGCCAAAGGUAAAGCAGUUCAAAAAGGUACAAAGUCGAAAGAAAAAGGAGGGAAGUUUAAAGAUGAUAAAAAGAUUACUGUUAAAAGAAGCAUAACAAAGGAUGGUGCCAGAGUCUGGGACAAAGUCCAUUACUGUGUAUUCUGUGAAAAGGCUCAGUUGAAGAUAGCUAGACAUCUAGAAAGAAAACAUCGUAUGGAACGCGAUGUCGCCUAUGCUUUUAGUUUCCCAGUUGGCUCAAAACAAAGGAAGAUUCUGAUAGAAGGCCUUCGUAAUAAGGGUGACUGGCAUCACAAUCGCAUGGUCUACAAGGAAGGAAAUGGUGAGAUUGUAGUAUGGAAACGGCCCUCUGAGAAGGCAGACAUAGAGAGCUACCUACCAUGUCAACACUGUUACGCAAUGUUCAAGAGGACUGAACUCUGGAGACAUGAGAAGUCAUGUAGAGAACGGAAAGAGGAAAGACAGAAAGGCAAAAGAGUACAAAAAUCUUCCUCACAUCUACUUCCAAUCAAAUCAGGCCAAGGAGUACAAAAGAUCAUCCACUCCAUGCAACAAGAUCAUGUAACCUCUCACAUCAGAAGUGAUGAGAUGAUUUGUGCGUAUGGAGAUGCAUUAUUUGCAAAAAAGGGCCUUGAAGAAUCUCAGCACAGAUACAUUGCACAAAAGCUGAGAGAACUAGGACGGUUUAUGUUGGCUGCCAAGGAGAUUGAUGAGCGUGCCGAAACUCUUAAAGACAUUUGUGAUCCAGCAAAUUUUAAACUGGCAAUUGAAGCAGCCAGACACGUGUCAAACUAUGAUGUAAACAAGAACGAAUAUGGAAAGCCAUCUACAGCUGUUAAAAUUGGGUUUUCACUCAAAGGGGCCACUGAAGCCUGGAUAGGCCACUGCUUGAUGGACUCUGAUGUCAAAACUGAGAAGGCAAAGAAGUUCAAGGAGUUGCUGGAGAGCUCAUGGUCCAUUCAUGUGUCGACUAAUGCUCAUAGCUCAUUGGAGCAACGGCGGUGGGGCAAAGAAGACACUGUACCUCUGACAGAGGAUGUUAUCACUCUCCAGAACUACCUGAGGAAAGCUGAGGAUGACGCAAAGGCAGAGUUAACAGAGCGCGUGAGUACUACAGCAUACAGGAAGUUAAGUGAGAGCCUUCUUGCACAAAUAAUUGUGUUCAAUAAGAAGCGUGAAGGAGAAGCAUCACGUUUAACCCUUGAGACAUAUCUAAAAGCAGACACCGGUCAUGUUAAUAAGGACAUUUAUGAGACUCUAUCGCCUGUGGAAAAACAAAUGAGCCACAGACUGACACGUUUGGUGACACGCGGAAAGAGAGGCAGAAAGGUGCCCAUCCUUCUUCUUGAGCGCACAAAAGCUUCGCUUGACUUCCUGGUUGAAAAACGGAGGGAAGUUGGCAUACUUGAGGAGAACCCCUUUCUGUUUGCCAGGCUUAGCACAACGACCAAUCUCCGUGGGUGUGACUGCCUCAGAAGAUAUGCAGAAGAGAGCAAGGCCAAAAACCCAGAACUGCUGAGAUCAACAAGGCUGAGGAAACACGUCGCUACCUUGUGUCAGCUUCUCGACCUCAGCAAUCAGGAACUUGAGCAAGUUGCUCGUUUUAUGGGACAUGAUAUCCGAGUCCACUGCGAGUAUUAUCGACAGACAGAUAAAACAUUCCAAGUGGCCAAGAUUGGCAAACUUCUGAUGGAGCAUGGAGCAGAGUCACUGAAAGGGAAGAGUCUGCAAACACUGGACUCCGUUAUCAGUGGCAAAAGACACGCAGCCACCCCAACUAAAGAUCUGAAAGGUGUCAAAAAGAUAAGGACGUCAGAUGCAGGAAUUCAACAGGAAGCUCAUGAAGAUGGACUGGUGCACCAGGAGAUAGGUGGAGGACAAAUGGAGAGAACUGCAGAAAAACAUGAUGAUGAUGCUCCAGAAAGGGUAGUCAAGAACCGAGGUAAGAGACCCUGGAAUGAACAGGAGAGGACGGCAGUCAAACGACGCCUUGCCAAGUCAAUCGCCCUUAAAAUGGUUCCAGGAAAGCAGGACUGCCUGAUGUGCAUUGCCAAAGAGUCUCCAGUCCUAAGUGCGCGGACGUGGAAAGACGUGAAGUAUUUUGUAUACAAUGAAAUUCUUAAAGUUAAAAGAAAGCUUGCAUUAUGA